rnacentral:lncRNA from 1 species
CAUACUGAACCUAAGCAGUUUAAGGCUAACAAGAGUCAGACAGAAAUGGACAGACCUAGAAAGAGAAAUUAGCAAAGCAUUGUGGGAUAAGGUACCUAUACAAUAACAUCUUAUAAUUUUUUUAUCUGUGAUACUACUACCUGGGUAUUGGAUAUUGAAAGUCCGAUUCAUAUCUAUAAUUUAUUGCAGGAACUUCAGAUUAGCAGAGAAUUUGAGAAGAGCAAAUAAUUCUGAAUAUUGA